rnacentral:rRNA from 1 species
GACGAACGCUGGCGGCGUGCCUAAUACAUGCAAGUAGAACGCUGAAGGACGAGCUUGCUUCUCUGGUUGAGUUGCGAACGGGUGAGUAACGCGUAAGUAACCUGCCUGGUAGCGUGGGAUAACUACUGGAAACGAUAGCUAAUACCGCAUAAUAGUAGCUGUUGCAUGACAUUUGCUGAAAAGGUUCAAUUGCAUCACUAGCAGAUGCAGCUGCGUUGUAUUAGCUAGUUGGUGGGGUAACGGCUCACCAAGGCGACGAUACAUAGCCGACCUGAGAGGGGGAUCGGCCACACUGGGACUGAGACACGGCCCAGACUCCUACGGGAGGCAGCAGUAGGGAAUCGUCGGCAAUGGACGGAAGUCUGACCGAGAUACGCCGCGUGAGGGAAGAAGGUUUCCGGAUCGGAAAGCUCGGUUGUAAGAGAAGAACGAGUGUGAGAGUGGAAAGUUCACACUGUGACGGUAUCGUACCAGAAAGCGACGGCUAACUACGUG